rnacentral:rRNA from 1 species
GACGAACGCUGGCGGCGUGCUUAACACAUGCAAGUCGAACGAAGUGGCGAACGGGUGAGUAACGCGUAAUCAACCUGCCCUUCAGCGGGGGACAACAGUUGGAAACGACUGCUAAUACCGCAAACUGAAGGAGGGGAUUGCGUCUGUUUAGCUAGUUGGAGGGGUAACGGCCCACCAAGGCGACGAUCAGUAGCCGGACUGGAGGGGUGAACGGGCAAAUUGGGACUGGGUAAAGGCCCAGACUCCUACGGGAGGCAGCAGGGGGGAAUCUUCCGCAAUUGAAGAAAGGUUGACGGGGCAACGGCCCGUGAGUGAGGACGGCCUUCGGGUUGUAAAGCUCUGUUAAUUGGGAAGCGGUACCGGAAUAGAAAGCCACGGCUAACUACGUGCCAGCAGCCGCGGUAAUUC